AGGUUGUAAAUGGUAUGGGCACCGAAUAGGCAACAAAGAAUGCCCUUUCUUUAUCAAAGGCAACCAGAAGCUAGAACAGUUCAGAGGAGCACAUGAAGAUCCCAUGUAUGACAUCAUUCAAGACAAUAAAAGACAUGAAAAGGAUAUGAGGAUACAACAUCUAAAGCAGUUACUGGAGAAUUCUACCUCAGAAGAGGAUGGGAGCAACUCCAGUUCCUCAGAAUAUAAAGGGAAGAAAAAAAGAAGAAGAAGAAGAAGAAGAAGAAGAAGAAGGAUAACAUAAGAAAAGGAAGAAAGAAAAGAGAAAGAAAAAGAAACAGAAGCAUAAGUCUUCCAAGUCAAGUGAGAGUUCAGACUCAGACUGACAAGGACUGGACUUGCUCAGCAGUCUCUUUCCAACAAUCCAACUCUGUGGCCAAAGAACAGAG
rnacentral:lncRNA from 1 species